UACAGAGGUCUCAAGCGUUGUUCGGAUUUACUGGGCGUAAAGGGUGUGUAGGCGGUCUGGUAAGUCUGAAGUGAAAUCUCUGAGCUCAACUCAGAAAAUGCUUCGGAUACUAUCCGGCUAGAGGGUCGGAGAGGAGAACGGAAUUCUCGGUGUAGCAGUGAAAUGCGUAGAUAUCGAGAGGAACAUCAGUGGCGAAGGCGGAUCUCUGGACGAAUCCUGACGCUGAGGCACGAAAGCCAGGGUAGCAAACGGG
rnacentral:rRNA from 1 species